rnacentral:rRNA from 1 species
CGGUUGAUCCUGCCGGAGGUCAUUGCUAUUGGAGUCCGAUUUAGCCAUGCUAGUUGUACGAGUUGAGACUCGUAGCAGAUAGCUCAGUAACACGUGGCCAAACUACCCUAUAGAUCCAGACAACCUCGGGAAACUGAGGCUAAUCCGGAAUAGGGCUCUCAUCCUGGAGUGGAGAGAGCCUGAAACGCUCCGGCGCUAUAGGAUGUGGCUGCGGCCGAUUAGGUAGACGGUGGGGUAACGGCCCACCGUGCCAGUAAUCGGUACGGGUUGUGAGAGCAAGAGCCCGGAGACGGUAUCUGAGACAAGAUACCGGGCCCUACGGGGCGCAGCAGGCGCGAAACCUUUACACUGCACGCCAGUGCGAUAAGGGGACUCCAAGUGCGAGGGCAUAUAGUCCUCGCUUUUUGCGACCGUAAGGUGGUCGCGGAAUAAGUGCUGGGCAAGACCGGUGCCAGCCGCCGCGGUAAUACCGGCAGCACAAGUGAUGACCGCUGUUAUUGGGCCUAAAGCGUCCGUAGCUGGCCGCACAAGUCUAUCGGGAAAUCUCUCCGCUUAACGGAGAGGCGUCCGGUGGAAACUGUGUGGCUUGGGACCGGAAGACCAGAGGGGUACGUCUGGGGUAGGAGUGAAAUCCCGUAAUCCUGGACGGACCACCGGUGGCGAAAGCGCCUCUGGAAGACGGAUCCGACGGUGAGGGACGAAAGCUCGGGUCACGAACCGGAUUAGAUACCCGGGUAGUCCGAGCUGUAAACGAUGUCUGCUAGGUGUGACACAGGCUACGAGCCUGUGUUGUGCCGUAGGGAAGCCGUGAAGCAGACCGCCUGGGAAGUACGUCCGCAAGGAUGAAACUUAAAGGAAUUGGCGGGGGAGCACUACAACCGGAGGAGCCUGCGGUUUAAUUGGACUCAACGCCGGACAUCUCACCAGCAUCGACAAUGUGCAGUGACGGUCAGUAUGAUGAGCUUACCUGAGCCAUUGAGAGGAGGUGCAUGGCCGCCGUCAGCUCGUACCGUGAGGCGUCCUGUUAAGUCAGGCAACGAGCGAGACCCGCACCCUUAAUUGCCAGCAGCACCCUUGUGGUGGCUGGGUACAUUAAGAGGACUGCCAGUGCCAAACUGGAGGAAGGAACGGGCAACGGUAGGUCAGUAUGCCCCGAAUGUGCUGGGCGACACGCGGGCUACAAUGGCCAAGACAGUGGGAUGCAACGCCGAAAGGCGACGCUAAUCUCCGAAACUUGGUCGUAGUUCGGAUUGAGGGCUGAAACUCGCCCUCAUGAAGCUGGAUUCGGUAGUAAUCGCGCCUCAGAAGGGCGCGGUGAAUACGUCCCUGCUCCUUGCACACACCGCCCGUCAAAGCACCCGAGUGGGGUCCGGAUGAGGCCCGGUUUCCGGGUCGAAUCUGGGCUCCGCAAGGGGGCUUAAGUCGUAACAAGGU